rnacentral:misc_RNA from 1 species
ACACACACACACACACAUAUAUAGGCAAACCACAUUUAUGUGUCAAGUAGAAACAAAUCUUAGUUAAAACCUCUGAAACUCCGACUCUUCAUUUUGCCUUGCCUAUGUUGACACAACACAACACAGGACACAACAUGGAAAAUGUGCUCAACAUAUAUUCAUAAUUCAUGCAAUAGGACACUCGAGUGAUAGAGAUCUCUCAAGAUGAAAAACAAGUUAAAAAGAGAAUGUAACUUUGAAUUAAAAGAUAGGUACAAAACAUAUUAAAAAUAUUGAAUAUUUUGAGAAUUCAAUAGUUGCAUUUUACAAUUUUAAUAGUGACCGGCCACUUUUAGAGAGAUUACUUGUAUCAUUUGAUGAUACCUUGUGAAUUGCUAGAAACAUGUAACGUGAAUGGGCAAAUCCUAAAACUAUAUUGUAGCUAGUACAUCAGCAGCAGAUCAAUUUUUUUUAAAAAAAAAAAAUGAAAAUCACACACACAUAUGCUCAAAAAAGAAUUAUUUAUUUAUUGUCUACUUGUACAUUUAGGACAUCCAAGCAAGCUAUUUAUAGCCAUAUUUCACUGAUUUCACAUUGCCAUCAUUUUUCUCACAAGAUAAAUUGAAGGGACCCUCUUCCCAGUUUUGCAUCAGAUUUGUCACACAACAAUAAUAAUAAAUUCCAGGCAGAUCACAGCCACAAAAAGUACUUAUGGCUUAGAUAUUUUCUCAGAUUUAGAUUGGCAUGAGAAACUAAGAGGAGAUCUCCUCCAUUGAAAAGGACAAAUAUCAGAACUGACAAACAUAAUUCAAGAAUAGCAUAAUAAUGAUGCACAUAGCUUGAUUGAACUCAUAUACGAUAUUAAAAAUAUCAGA